rnacentral:misc_RNA from 1 species
GAUGAAGAACGCAGCGAAAUGCGAUAAGUAAUGUGAAUUGCAGAAUUCAGUGAAUCAUCGAAUCUUUGAACGCACAUUGCGCCCGCCAGUAUUCUGGCGGGCAUGCCUGUUCGAGCGUCAUUUCGACCAUCAAGCCCCCGGCUUGUGUUGGGGACCUGCGGCUGCCGCAGGCCCUGAAAAGCAGUGGCGGGCUCGCUGUCAUACCGAGCGUAGUAGCAUACAUCUCGCUCUGGGCGUGCUGCGGGUUCCGGCCGUUAAACCACCUUCAUAACCCAAGGUUGACCUCGGAUCAGGUAGGAAGACCCGCUGAACUUAAGCAUAUCAAUAAGCGGAGGA